rnacentral:rRNA from 1 species
CCUACGGGAGGCUGCAGUGAGGAAUAUUGGUCAAUGGACGAGAGUCUGAACCAGCCAAGUAGCGUGAAGGAUGACUGCCCUAUGGGUUGUAAACUUCUUUUAUAAAGGAAUAAAACGAGGCACGUGUGCCUUUUUGCAUGUACUUUAUGAAUAAGGAUCGGCUAACUCCGUGCCAGCAGCCGCGGUAAUACGGAGGAUCCGAGCGUUAUCCGGAUUUAUUGGGUUUAAAGGGAGCGUAGAUGGGUUGUUAAGUCAGUUGUGAAAGUUUGCGGCUCAACCGUAAAAUUGCAAUUGAUACUGGCAGUCGUGAGUACAGUUGAGGGAGGCGGAAUUCGUGGUGUAGCGGUGAAAUGCUUAGAUAUCACGAAGAACCCCGAUUGCGAAGGCAGCUUACUAAACUGUGACUGACAUUGAUGCUCGAAAGUGUGGGUAUCAAACAGGAUUAGAUACCCUUGUAGUC